rnacentral:misc_RNA from 1 species
GAUGAAGAACGCAGCGAAAUGCGAUAAGUAGUGUGAAUUGCAGAAUUCCGUGAAUCAUCGAAUCUUUGAACGCACAUUGCGGCCAUAGGUAUUCCUUUGGCCAUGCCUGUUCGAGCGUCAUUUACACCCUCAAGCCUAGCUUGGUGUUGGGCGUCUGUCCCGCCGUUCUCGCGCGCGGACUCGCCUCAAAGUCAUUGGCGGCGGUCGUGCCGGCCCCCUCGCGCAGCACAUUUGCGCUUCUCGGAGGCCCGGCGGAUCCGCGCUCCAGCAAGACCUUUCACGACUUGACCUCGGAUCAGGUAGGGAUACCCGCUGAACUUAAGCAUAUCAAUAAGCGGAGGA